rnacentral:rRNA from 1 species
AUUGAACGCUGGCGGCAGGCCUAACACAUGCAAGUCGAACGAGUGGCGGACGGGUGAGUAAUGUCUGGGAAACUGCCUGAUGGAGGGGGAUAACUACUGGAAACGGUAGCUAAUACCGCAUACCAUCGGAUGUGCCCAGAUGGGAUUAGCUCGUAGGUGGGGUAAAGGCUCACCUAGGCGACGAUCCCUAGCUGGUCUGAGAGGAUGACCAGCCACACGGGAACGGAGACAGGGCCCAGAGUCCUACGGGAGGCAGCAGUGGGGAAUAGUGAACAAGGGGUGCAGGCCUGAUGCAGCCAUGCCGAAGGUAUGAAGAAGGCCUUCGGGUUGUAAAGUACUUUCAGCGGGGAGGCGUAACCCGCAGAAGAAGCACCGGCUAACUCCGUGCCAGCAGCCGCGGUAUAC